GGAGGCAUAGCUCAGCCGGUAGAGCACCUGCUCCACACGCAGGGGGUCGCAGAUUCGAGUUCUGCUGUCUCCA
rnacentral:tRNA from 1 species